UUCCAGACUCCUACGGGAGGCAGCAGUAGGGAAUUUUCGUCAAUGGAGGGUACUCUGAACGAGCAAUGCCGCGUGAGUGGAGAAGGUCUUCGGAUCGUAAAGCUCUGUUGCAAGAGAAAAACGACAAGCACAGGGAAUGGUGAUUGAGUGAUGGUAUCUUGCGAGGAAGCCCCGGCUAACUACGUGCCAGCAGCCGCGGUAAUACGUAGGGGGCGAGCGUUGUCCGGAAUUACUGGGCGUAAAGAGAGCGUAGGCGGCACUACAAGUCUCAUGUGAAAUACCCGGGCUUAACUUGGGGGUUGCAUGGGAAACUGUAGAGCUUGAGUACAGGAGAGGCAAGCGGAAUUCCUAGUGUAGCGGUGAAAUGCAUAGAUAUUAGGAGGAACACCAGUGGCGAAGGCGGCUUGCUGGACUGAAACUGACGCUGAGGCUCGAAAGCGUGGGGAGCAAACAGGAUUAGAUACCCCUGUAUA
rnacentral:rRNA from 1 species